rnacentral:rRNA from 1 species
AUGGGUCAGCGACUUAUAUUCUGUAGCAAGGUUAACCGAAUAGGGGAGCCGAAGGGAAACCGAGUCUUAACUGGGCGUUAAGUUGCAGGGUAUAGACCCGAAACCCGGUGAUCUAGCCAUGGGCAGGUUGAAGGUUGGGUAACACUAACUGGAGGACCGAACCGACUAAUGUUGAAAAAUUAGCGGAUGACUUGUGGCUGGGGGUGAAAGGCCAAUCAAACCGGGAGAUAGCUGGUUCUCCCCGAAAGCUAUUUAGGUAGCGCCUCGUGAAUUCAUCUCCGGGGGUAGAGCACUGUUUCGGCAAGGGGGUCAUCCCGACUUACCAACCCGAUGCAAACUGCGAAUACCGGAGAAUGUUAUCACGGGAGACACACGGCGGGUGCUAACGUCCGUCGUGAAGAGGGAAACAACCCAGACCGCCAGCUAAGGUCCCAAAGUCAUGGUUAAGUGGGAAACGAUGUGGGAAGGCCCAGACAGCCAGGAUGUUGGCUUAGAAGCAGCCAUCAUUUAAAGAAAGCGUAAUAGCUCACUGGUCGAGUCGGCCUGCGCGGAAGAUGUAACGGGGCUAAACCAUGCACCGAAGCUGCGGCAGCGACACUAUGUGUUGUUGGGUAGGGGAGCGUUCUGUAAGCCUGUGAAGGUGGCCUGUGAGGGUUGCUGGAGGUAUCAGAAGUGCGAAUGCUGACAUAAGUAACGAUAAAGCGGGUGAAAAGCCCGCUCGCCGGAAGACCAAGGGUUCCUGUCCAACGUUAAUCGGGGCAGGGUGAGUCGACCCCUAAGGCGAGGCCGAAAGGCGUAGUCGAUGGGAAACAGGUUAAUAUUCCUGUACUUGGUGUUACUGCGAAGGGGGGACGGAGAAGGCUAUGUUGGCCGGGCGACGGUUGUCCCGGUUUAAGCGUGUAGGCUGGUUUUCCAGGCAAAUCCGGAAAACCAAGGCUGAGGCGUGAUGACGAGGCACUACGGUGCUGAAGCGACAAAUGCCCUGCUUCCAGGAAAAGCCUCUAAGCAUCAGGUAACAUCAAAUCGUACCCCAAACCGACACAGGUGGUCAGGUAGAGAAUACCAAGGCGCUUGAGAGAACUCGGGUGAAGGAACUAGGCAAAAUGGUGCCGUAACUUCGGGAGAAGGCACGCUGAUAUGUAGGUGAAGCGACUUGCUCGUGGAGCUGAAAUCAGUCGAAGAUACCAGCUGGCUGCAACUGUUUAUUAAAAACACAGCACUGUGCAAACACGAAAGUGGACGUAUACGGUGUGACGCCUGCCCGGUGCCGGAAGGUUAAUUGAUGGGGUUAGCGGUAACGCGAAGCUCUUGAUCGAAGCCCCGGUAAACGGCGGCCGUAACUAUAACGGUCCUAAGGUAGCGAAAUUCCUUGUCGGGUAAGUUCCGACCUGCACGAAUGGCGUAAUGAUGGCCAGGCUGUCUCCACCCGAGACUCAGUGAAAUUGAACUCGCUGUGAAGAUGCAGUGUACCCGCGGCAAGACGGAAAGACCCCGUGAACCUUUACUAUAGCUUGACACUGAACAUUGAGCCUUGAUGUGUAGGAUAGGUGGGAGGCUUUGAAGUGUGGACGCCAGUCUGCAUGGAGCCGACCUUGAAAUACCACCCUUUAAUGUUUGAUGUUCUAACGUUGGCCCCUAAUCGGGGUUGCGGACAGUGUCUGGUGGGUAGUUUGACUGGGGCGGUCUCCUCCUAAAGAGUAACGGAGGAGCACGAAGGUUGGCUAAUCCUGGUCGGACAUCAGGAGGUUAGUGCAAUGGCAUAAGCCAGCUUGACUGCGAGCGUGACGGCGCGAGCAGGUGCGAAAGCAGGUCAUAGUGAUCCGGUGGUUCUGAAUGGAAGGGCCAUCGCUCAACGGAUAAAAGGUACUCCGGGGAUAACAGGCUGAUACCGCCCAAGAGUUCAUAUCGACGGCGGUGUUUGGCACCUCGAUGUCGGCUCAUCACAUCCUGGGGCUGAAGUAGGUCCCAAGGGUAUGGCUGUUCGCCAUUUAAAGUGGUACGCGAGCUGGGUUUAGAACGUCGUGAGACAGUUCGGUCCCUAUCUGCCGUGGGCGCUGGAGAACUGAGGGGGGCUGCUCCUAGUACGAGAGGACCGGAGUGGACGCAUCACUGGUGUUCGGGUUGUCAUGCCAAUGGCACUGCCCGGUAGCUAAAUGCGGAAGAGAUAAGUGCUGAAAGCAUCUAAGCACGAAACUUGCCCCGAGAUGAGUUCUCCCUGAGACUUAGAGUCUCCUGAAGGAACGUUGAAGACGACGACGUUGAUAGGCCGGGUGUGUAAGCGCAGCGAUGCGUUGAGCUAACCGGUACUAAUGAACCGUGAGGCUUAACCUUACAACGCCGAAG